rnacentral:rRNA from 1 species
CACACGACUCUCGACAACGGAUAUCUCGGCUCUCGCAUCGAUGAAGAACGUAGCGAAAUGCGAUACCUGGUGUGAAUUGCAGAAUCCCGCGAACCAUCGAGUCUUUGAACGCAAGUUGCGCCCGAGGCCACUCGGCCGAGGGCACGCCUGCCUGGGCGUCACGC